rnacentral:rRNA from 1 species
GAUGAACGCUGGCGGCGUGCCUAAUACAUGCAAGUCGAGCGAACAGACGAGGAGCUUGCUCCUCUGACGUUAGCGGCGGACGGGUGAGUAACACGUGGAUAACCUACCUAUAAGACUGGGAUAACUUCGGGAAACCGGAGCUACUACCGGAUAAUAUAUUGAACCGCAUGGUUCAAUAGUGAAAGACGGUUUUGCUGUCACUUAUAGAUGGAUCCGCGCCGCAUUAGCUAGUUGGUAAGGUAACGGCUUACCAAGGCGACGAUGCGUAGCCGACCUGAGAGCGUGAUCGCACACACGGGAAGUGAGACACGGUCCAGACUCCGACGGGAGGCAGCAGUAGGGAAUCUUCCGCAAUGGGCGAAAGCCUGACGGAGCAACGCCGCGUGAGUGAUGAAGGUCUUCGGAUCGUAAAGCUCUGUUAUUAGGGAAGAACAAAUGUGUAAGUAACUAUGCACGUCUUGACGGUACCGAAUCAGAAAGCCACGGCUAACUACGUG